CGCAGCCUGGAGGUCUAGCUAGGUGUACCUGUGGUCUUCCUCUCUAACUCCUCAUCAUCACGCAGCCUGGAGGUCUAGCUAGGUGUACCUGUGGUCUUCCUCUCUAACUCCUCUUCAUCACGCAGCCUGGAGGUCUAGCUAGGUGUACCUGUGGUCUUCCUCUCUAACUCCUCUUCAUCACGCAGCCAGGAGGUCUACCUAGGUGUACCUGUGGUCUUCCUCUUCAUCACACAGCCUGGAGGUCUAGCUAGGUGUACCUGUGGUCUUCCUCUCUAACACCUCUUCAUCACACAGCCUGGAGGUCUAGCUAGGUGUACCUGUGGUCUUCCUCUCUAACACCUCUUCAUCACGCAGCCUGGAGGUCUAGCUAGGUGUACCUGUGGUCUUCCUCUCUAACUCCUCUUCAUCACGCAGCCUGGAGGUCUAGCUAGGUGUACCUGUGGUCUUCCUCUCUAACUCCUCUUCAUCACGCAGCCUGGAGGUCUAGCUAGGUGUACCUGUGGUCUUCCUCUCUAACUCCUCUUCAUCACGCAGCCUGGAGGUCUAGCUAGGUGUACCUGUGGUCUUCCUCUCUAACACCUCUUCAUCACGCAGCCUGGAGGUCUAGCUAGGUGUACCUGUGGUCUUCCUCUCUAACUCCUCUUCAUCACGCAGCCUGGAGGUCUAGCUAGGUGUACCUGUGGUCUUCCUCUCUAACUCCUCUUCAUCACACAGCCUGGAGGUCUAGCUAGGUGUACCUGUGGUCUUCCUCUCUAACACCUCUUCAUCACACAGCCUGGAGGUCUAGCUAGGUGUACCUGUGGUCUUCCUCUCUAACUCCUCUUCAUCACACAGCCUGGAGGUCUAGCUAGGUGUACCUGUGGUCUUCCUCUCUAACACCUCUUCAUCACGCAGCCUGGAGGUCUAGCUAGGUGUACCUGUGGUCUUCCUCUCUAACACCUCUUCAUCACGCAGCCUGGAGGUCUAGCUAGGUGUACCUGUGGUCUUCCUCUCUAACACCUCUUCAUCACACAGCCUGGAGGUCUAGCUAGGUGUACCUGUGGUCUUCCUCUCUAACACCUCUUCAUCACACAGCCUGGAGGUCUAGCUAGGUGUACCUGUGGUCUUCCUCUCUAACACCUCUUCAUCACACAGCCUGGAGGUCUAGCUAGGUGUACCUGUGGUCUUCCUCUCUAACACCUCUUCAUCACUCAGCCUGGAGGUGUACCUGUGGUCUUCCUCUCUAACACCUCUUCAUCACACAGCCUGGAGGUCUAGCUAGGUGUACCUGUGGUCUUCCUCUCUAACUCCUCUUCAUCACACAGCCUGGAGGUCUAGCUAGGUGUACCUGUGGUCUUCCUCUCUAACACCUCAGACAGGUGCAGUAAGGCCUCGUCGACAUGCAGUCCGUGGAGGUCUAGCUAGGUGUACCUGUGGUCUUCCUCUCUAACACCUCAGACAGGUGCAGUAAGGCCUCGUCGACAUGCAGUCCCUGGAGGUCUAGCUAGGUGUACCUGUGGUCUUCCUCUCUAACACCUCAGACAGGUGCAGUAAGGCCUCGUCGACAUGCAGUCCGUGGAGGUCUAGCUAGGUGUACCUGUGGUCUUCCUCUCUAACACCUCAGACAGGUGCAGUAAGGCCUCGUCGACAUGCAGUCCCUGGAGGUCUAGCUAGGUGUACCUGUGGUCUUCCUCUCUAACACCUCAGACAGGUGCAGUAAGGCCUCGUCGACAUGCAGUCCCUGGAGGUCUAGCUAGGUGUACCUGUGGUCUUCCUCUCUAACACCUCAGACAGGUGCAGUAAGGCCUCGUCGACAUGCAGUCCCUGGAGGUCUAGCUAGGUGUACCUGUGGUCUUCCUCUCUAACACCUCAGACAGGUGCAGUAAGGCCUCGUCGACAUGCAGUCCCUGGAGGUCUAGCUAGGUGUACCUGUGGUCUUCCUCUCUAACACCUCAGACAGGUGCAGUAAGGCCUCGUCGACAUGCAGUCCCUGGAGGUCUAGCUAGGUGUACCUGUGGUCUUCCUCUCUAACACCUCAGACAGGUGCAGUAAGGCCUCGUCGACAUGCAGUCCCUGGAGGUCUAGCUAGGUGUACCUGUGGUCUUCCUCUCUAACACCUCAGACAGGUGCAGUAAGGCCUCGUCGACAUGCAGUCCCUGGAGGUCUAGCUAGGUGUACCUGUGGUCUUCCUCUCUAACACCUCAGACAGGUGCAGUAAGGCCUCGUCGACAUGCAGUCCCUGGAGGUCUAGCUAGGUGUACCUGUGGUCUUCCUCUCUAACACCUCAGACAGGUGCAGUAAGGCCUCGUCGACAUGCAGUCCCUGGAGGUCUAGCUAGGUGUACCUGUGGUCUUCCUCUCUAACACCUCAGACAGGUGCAGUAAGGCCUCGUCGACAUGCAGUCCCUGGAGGUCUAGCUAGGUGUACCUGUGGUCUUCCUCUCUAACACCUCAGACAGGUGCAGUAAGGCCUCGUCG